GAUGAACGCUGGCGGCGUGCCUAAUACAUGCAAGUCGAGCGAACGGACGAGAAGCUUGCUUCUCUGAUGUUAGCGGCGGACGGGUGAGUAACACGUGGAUAACCUACCUAUAAGACUGGGAUAACUUCGGGAAACCGGAGCUAAUACCGGAUAAUAUUUUGAACCGCAUGGUUCAAAAGUGAAAGACGGUCUUGCUGUCACUUAUAGAUGGAUCCGCGCUGCAUUAGCUAGUUGGUAAGGUAACGGCUUACCAAGGCAACGAUGCAUAGCCGACCUGAGAGGGUGAUCGGCCACACUGGAACUGAGACACGGUCCAGACUCCUACGGGAGGCAGCAGUAGGGAAUCUUCCGCAAUGGGCGAAAGCCUGACGGAGCAACGCCGCGUGAGUGAUGAAGGUCUUCGGAUCGUAAAACUCUGUUAUUAGGGAAGAACAUAUGUGUAAGUAACUGUGCACAUCUUGACGGUACCUAAUCAGAAAGCCACGGCUAACUACGUGCCAGCAGCCGCGGUAAUACGUAGGUGGCAAGCGUUAUCCGGAAUUAUUGGGCGUAAAGCGCGCGUAGGCGGUUUUUUAAGUCUGAUGUGAAAGCCCACGGCUCAACCGUGGAGGGUCAUUGGAAACUGGAAAACUUGAGUGCAGAAGAGGAAAGUGGAAUUCCAUGUGUAGCGGUGAAAUGCGCAGAGAUAUGGAGGAACACCAGUGGCGAAGGCGACUUUCUGGUCUGUAACUGACGCUGAUGUGCGAAAGCGUGGGGAUCAAACAGGAUUAGAUACCCUGGUAGUCCACGCCGUAAACGAUGAGUGCUAAGUGUUAGGGGGUUUCCGCCCCUUAGUGCUGCAGCUAACGCAUUAAGCACUCCGCCUGGGGAGUACGACCGCAAGGUUGAAACUCAAAGGAAUUGACGGGGACCCGCACAAGCGGUGGAGCAUGUGGUUUAAUUCGAAGCAACGCGAAGAACCUUACCAAACCUUGACAUCCUUUGACAACUCUAGAGAUAGAGCUUUCCCCUUCGGGGGACAAAGUGACAGGUGGUGCGUGGUUGUCGUCAGCUCGUGUCGUGAGAUGUUGGGUUAAGUCCCGCAACGAGCGCAACCCUUAAGCUUAGUUGCCAUCAUUAAGUUGGGCACUCUAAGUUGACUGCCGGUGACAAACCGGAGGAAGGUGGGGAUGACGUCAAAUCAUCAUGCCCCUUAUGAUUUGGGCUACACACGUGCUACAAUGGACAAUACAAAGGGCAGCGAAACCGCGAGGUCAAGCAAAUCCCAUAAAGUUGUUCUCAGUUCGGAUUGUAGUCUGCAACUCGACUACAUGAAGCUGGAAUCGCUAGUAAUCGUAGAUCAGCAUGCUACGGUGAAUACGUUCCCGGGUCU
rnacentral:rRNA from 1 species